rnacentral:rRNA from 1 species
GAUGAACGCUGGCGGUAUGCCGUAACACAUGCAAGUCGUACGAGAGUUUUUAACUCUAGUGGCGGACGGGUGAGUAACACGUGAGAAUUUGCCUUUAGAGGGGGAUACAAUUGGAAACGAAUGCUAAUACCCCAUAUGCUUUUGAGUGAAACGGAUUUAUCCGCCUAGAGAGAAGCUCGCGGCUGAUUAGCUAGUUGGUGAGGUAAAGGCUCACCAAGGCGACGAUCCGUAGCUGGUUUGAGAGGACGACCCAGCCACACUGGGACUGAGACACGGCCCCAGACUCCUACGGGAGGCAGCAGUGGGGAAUUUUGGACAAUGGGGGAAACCCUGAUCCAGCCAUUCCGCGUGUGCGAUGAAGGCCUUCGGGUUGUAAAGCACUUUUGGCAGGAAAGAAAUCGCACCAAUUAAUACUUGGUGUGGAUGACGGUACCUGCAGAAUAAGCACCGGCUAACUACGUG